GUAAGGGUUUCGGCUCGUAAAACUCUGUUGUUAAGGAAGAAUACUUGAGGUAGUAACUGGCCUUGAGAUGACGGUACUUAACCAGAAAGCCACGGCUAACUACGUGCCAGCAGCCGCGGUAAUACGUAGGUGGCAAGCGUUAUCCGGAAUUAUUGGGCGUAAAGCGCGCGUAGGCGGUAAAUAAGUCUGAUGUGAAAGCCCCCGGCUCAACCGGGAGGGUCAUUGGAAACUGUUUUACUUGAGUACAGAAGAGGAGAGUGGAAUUCCAUGUGUAGCGGUGAAAUGCGCAGAGAUAUGGAGGAACACCAGUGGCGAAGGCGGCUCUCUGGUCUGUUACUGACGCUGAGGUGCGAAAGCGUGGGGAUCAAACAGGAUUAGAUACCCUGGUAGUCCACGCCGUAAACGAUGAGUGCUAAGUGUUGGGGGUUUCCGCCCCUCAGUGCCGUAGCUAACGCGUUAAGUAUCCCGCCUGGGGAGUACGCACGCAAGUGUGAAACUCAAAGGAAUUGACGGGGGCCCGCACAAGCGGUGGAGUAUGUGGUUUAAUUCGAUGUCGACGCGGCCG
rnacentral:rRNA from 1 species